rnacentral:rRNA from 1 species
GAUGAACGCUGGCGGUGUGCCUAACACAUGCAAGUCGAACGAUCCGCCUCGGCGGAUAGUGGCGAACGGGUGAGUAAUACAUAGGAAUCUGCCCCAGACAGGGGGAUACCCAGCCGAAAGGUUGGCUAAUACCCCAUAGUCCCGCAAGGGUAAAGUCGCAAGACGGUUUGGGAGGAGCCUGUGUCCUAUCAGCUAGUUGGUGGGGUAAUAGCCUACCAAGGCAAUGACGGGUAGGGGGUGUGAGAGCAUGACCCCCCACAAUGGGACUGAGACACGGCCCAUACUCCUACGGGAGGCAGCAGUUGGGAAUUGUACGCAAUGGGCGAAAGCCUGACGUCGCGACACCGCGUGGAGGAAGAAGGCCUUCGGGUCGUAAACUUCUUUUCCCAGGGAAAAUUGUGAUGGUACCUGGGGAAUAAGGACCUGCUAACUACGUGC